rnacentral:lncRNA from 1 species
UUGAGCUGGCCGAACCACUCAAACACCAUACUCAUCAUGCACCUACAAGGCCAACACAACUCCUAGGAGGGUCUUGAUCAUCUCACCCAUUGCUUCCGCACCUUAUUUUCUACUUUGAUUCAAGAAGAACACAUGAAAAUGCCAUCAUUUGGUAUCAUGAGCUUUUGGUUCUUCAAGAUGAGUAGCUUGGUCUUUUAAAUUUUCAGUUCUUCUUUAUUUCAUAUUGUCAUUUAAAUUCCAUACUUGUCUUGCUGUUUUUUACUUUUUAAAUUGUU